AGCUCCAAUAGCGUAUAUUAAAGUUGUUGCGGUAAAAAGCUCGUAGUUGGAUUUCUGUUGAAGACGAGCGGUCCGUACCACGUACGCGUAUCUGCUUCGGCUUCGGCAUCCUCUCGAAGAACGCUUCUGCGCUUGAUUGCGUGGGGCGGAUUUCGGGACUUUUACUUUGAGGAAAUUAGAGUGUUCACAGCAGGCUAUCGCUUGAAUACGUUAGCAUGGAAUAAUGAUAUAGGAUCUCGAUUCUAUUUUGUUGGUUUCUAGGAUUGAGGUAAUGAUUAAUAGGGACAAUUGGGGGCAUUCGUAUCAACACGUCAGAGGUGGAAUUCUUGGAUUGUGUUGCGACGAACUACUGCGAAAGCAUUUGCCAAGG
rnacentral:rRNA from 1 species